AGCAGCCGCGGUAAUUCCAGCUCCAAUAGCGUAUAUUAAAGUUGUUGCAGUUAAAAAGCUCGUAGUUGAAUUUCGAGAUCAAAUUGUUGGUCGUGCCUUGGUACGCACUGGCAUUAUUGGUUUCUCCCUUCUGACGAACCAUGAUGUCAUUAAUUUGGUGUCUUGGGGAAUCAGGACUGUUACUUUGAAAAAAUUAGAGUGUUUAAAGCAGGCUCACGCUUGAAUACAUUAGCAUGGAAUAAUGAAAUAGGACGUUUGAUUCUAUUUUGUUGGUUUCUAGGAUCGACGUAAUGAUUAAUAGGGAUAGUUGGGGGCAUUAGUAUUCAAUUGUCAGAGGUGAAAUUCUUGGAUUUAUUGAAGACUAACUACUGCGAAAGUAUUUGCCAAGGAUGUUUUCAUUAAUCAAGAACGAAAGUUAGGGGAUCGAAGACGAUCAGAUACCGUCGUAGUCUUAACCAUAAACUAUGCCGACUAGGGAUCGGAUGAUGUUAAUUUUUUAAUGACUCAUUCGGCGCCUUAC
rnacentral:rRNA from 1 species